AAAAGGAAAAAAUAAAACCUUAAAGAAAAAGAAGAUCCUAAAUUCGACCCAAACCUGGGGCUGAUUAAGAAUGGGGCCCUGGGAGCCCUUGCUUGUUAAUAAACAGCACAUGACAUUGACCAUGAUACCUGACCAUGCAGCCAGUCAGGAGAGAGUCGCCCCACCCUAGCGUCAGGAAUGGUGGAAAGACUGUCCCUCGUGUCCUCACCUUCGAUUGGGAUCCCCCCAAAAAGCAAAGUGUUCAGUUGUCCCAUGCCUGCCGACGGUGUCCUCCCCCCUUAUGCAUCUCGCUGCACCCGGGCCCCGGAGGCCUGCUGUUGCUAAGGCAGGGCGGACUGGCUUUGAGUCACUCAGCAGAGGUCCUGCCAGGAGCCCAGCCCAAGUAAACAGCUUUCCCCGCUUCCCGCUCCCUCUCCUUGUUGCCCGGGGUCACUGCCCCUCUGUUCUAAACAGUCCCCCAGCUCAGAGCUGAGCAGAGCAGGGAGAAAGAAAGGCUGCCGGGGCCUUCUGUUCGAGCUGCCCGGAUGAGGACCACAGCUGUGCAACGGAGCUCACGUGUGUUUAUCACCACCAACUGUCACCACCACUAACACAACAACUAACUAACAACUAACAACAACACAGAUCCUGCAGCUCUGGCCCGGCUCCUUCAGCCCAAGCAAGCAAUGAGGACAAAGAAUAGGCCCGACUGAGGCCACCAUGGCCUCCUGAUUGCCAUCAGCAGGCAAGCAGCAAACAGCUGCAACUUGACCCAGACCGCCGUGCCAAGUGAAAUCCUGACCGGCUCUCCCAGUGACAAACUAUUUUCUUAAAAUUGUGUCCACGCCAUUUGGGAGACAGAAGAGGCCCUGGUCAUAAGCCACAGCACUUGGUGGCCAGCUGGAAUGCUGCGGGUGCGAAAAAUGGAAGGUGACUGUCCACUUCUAAGCCUGGAAGAUGGUCAGAAAGCUGCCCUCAUGGCCACUCACAGGGAACGAGAUGAGCAGGGGGUCAGGUGGACUGGGGGGGAUUUCCUGGGGCCCCAGCUGCUCUUCUGCAACCACACCACACUUCCCACCAAGUUCUCAACCUCCGCGCCCACUUCCUCAACAGCCAGAUGGGCAGUUUCCAUCUCCAUUUUUAUUGAAAUACAAAAUGUGCAAAGGUGAA